GACGAACGCUGGCGGCGUGCUUAACACAUGCAAGUCGAGCGGUAAGGCCUCUUCGGGGGUACACGAGCGGCGAACGGGUGCGUAACAGGAGGGUGACCUGCCCCCAGCUCUGGGAUAAGCAUGGGAACCUGGGACCAAUACCGGUAAUGAAUUUUCUUCGCAUGGGGUUUGGUGGAAAGUUUUUUCGGCUGGGGAUGGCCCCGCGGCCUAUCAGCUUGUUGGUGGGGUGAUGGCGUACCAAGGCGACGAAGGGUAGCCGGCCUGCGAGGCCGACCGGCCACACUGGGAGUGAGGCACGGGCCGGACUCCUACGGGAGACAGCGGUGGGGAGUAGUGCGCAAGGGGCGGAAGCCUGACGCAGCGACGCAGCGUGGGGGACGACGGCCUGGGGGUUGUAAACCUCUUUCGAACCCGACGAAUUUGGACGGUAGGGGUAGAAGAAGCACCGGCCAACUACGUG
rnacentral:rRNA from 1 species